CAGUCGCCACGGGAAUACGGAGGGGGCUAGCGUUGUUCGGAAUUACUGGGCGUAAAGCGCACGUAGGCGGCUUGGUAAGUUAGAGGUGAAAGCCUGGAGCUCAACUCCAGAAUUGCCUUUAAGACUGCCGAGCUAGCAGGUGAGAGAGGUGAGUGGAAUUCCGAGUGUAGAGGUGAAAUUCGUAGAUAUUCGGAAGAACACCAGUGGCGAAGGCGGCUCACUGGCUCAUACUGGACGCUGAGGUGCGAAAGCGUGGGGAGCAAACAGGAUUAGAUACCCGUGUAGUCCCUGUCUCUUAUAC
rnacentral:rRNA from 1 species